GCUUCAUCCACUGUGCCAGCCAGGUGCCCCAUGGAUCAUAUGGAAAGAAGAUGUCAGGAGACUCAGAAAAGGAGACGCGCCAAUAGAAGCAGACAUUGAGUGACUUAGCCCUGAGCUAAGGAAUGUUGGCCCCCUAAAGAAGAUGGAAAAAGCAAGGAACGGAUUCUCCUCUAAAGCAUCUAGAAGGAAUGUAGGCCUUGAUUUUAGCAUCAUAAUAACCUUUUUGGACUUCUGAGCACCAGAACUAUAAUAUAAUUAAUUAAUUUGUGUUGUUUUAA